UGGGGAAUAUUGGACAAUGGGGGCAACCCUGAUCCAGCAAUGCCGCGUGAGUGAUGAAGGCCUUAGGGUUGUAAAGCUCUUUUGGCGGGGACGAUGAUGACGGUACCCGCAGAAUAAGCCCCGGCUAACUUCGUGCCAGCAGCCGCGGUAAUACGAAGGGGGCGAGCGUUGUUCGGAAUUACUGGGCGUAAAGGGCGCGUAGGCGGCGACCCAAGUCAGAUGUGAAAGUCCUGGGCUUAACCUGGGGACUGCAUUUGAUACUGGGUUGCUUGAAUUCGGGAGAGGAUAGCGGAAUUCCCAGUGUAGAGGUGAAAUUCGUAGAUAUUGGGAAGAACACCGGUGGCGAAGGCGGCUAUCUGGACCGACAUUGACGCUGAGGCGCGAAAGCGUGGGGAGCAAA
rnacentral:rRNA from 1 species